GCCGCGUGCGCGCGCGGCCGGAGCCCGAGCCCUGCGGCGGGGCGGGCGGCGCCUUCCGGGCAGUCGCCCCCGCCGUGUCUGGGGGCCGGCGCUGCGGGAGGCCCAGCCGCCGGGCCGGGCCGGGCCGUUGGAGGGGCUGUGGCGCGCGGGCCCGGGCAGCGUUCCCGGAAGGCCCCUCCGCUUUCCGCUUGUCCAGACCAUCGACGAAGCCCUAGACGACCUUCCGUCACUUUCGGACCCGUGAAAAUUGCAUUCCCUCCUGCAGCACCGCUCCCGCCAGCCAGGGAUCCACGGCGCGGCCCGGGCCGCCCCAGGCCCGGCUUGGUACCCUGCGCCCUCCGGGGCUGAUCCCUGAGCGCAGCGCCGGGAGUGAGCACUGCCAGGUGUGGCCCAAAUGAAGAAAACGCUCUCCUUGCCGGUAGAAAGUAUUAGCACUUUUAAAUGAGUACAGUAGAUUAAAGUAUAGAGCCAGAGAGAGAGUACAGUGGGUAGGGCACUUGCCUUGCACGGGGCCCACCCUGGUUCCAUCCCCGCAGCCCAUCUUGAACUCAGCACCGCCAGGAGUGAUUCCUGACUGUAGAGCCAGGAGUAACCCCUGAACAUCACUAGAUUGACUCUUUGCCUAAUGUUUUAAGAAAAACUAAACACGGUAUUCUUAUUCAUGUGCUAAAUUAAGAUUUCGAUACUUGAUAAGGCCAUCAGAAGACCGCGUGGCCGCCCACCAACAAGAUGGUCAGACUUCUUCGUCAAAACCCUGAAUGAAUGGUUUGAGGCUCUUCCUGUUCCGGGAGUGAUCAGAUAUCAUUGGGCUACACUAGCAUGCGACAGGGACGAAUGAAGACAUUACUGGCACCCGCUCGAGCAAAUCGAAGGUCAACGGGAUGGCAAGUGAUACAAGUGACAAGUGAUAGAUAAGCCCAGAGAGAAAGUACAUCAGGAAAAAGGACGUUGCUCUAAAAUAAACUAUGCAAAGGCCUUAAAAGAGAGAGGAAAGCCUCCUGCCGCAGAGAUGUGAUCCCGGGGACCGCACGUGUGUGUGGGCUCUCCGCAGCUGCACGAGCGUGAAUCCAGACCCAGCUAAACUACUUUCGGCAUGGGCAGCUCCUCACAGAAUGUCUCCAGCCUGAGAACUAAGCCGCGGCCCCAUGCCCGCCCAGGAGGGGAAAGGUAUUUCUUUCUCGCCUCUUCCUUUCCGGGGACGAAGGGCGUGGUGACCGCCAUAUUAUGACGACCACAGAUGGGGUUUACAAGCUUGCAAUGAUCCAAUAUCUGGAAGAAAUCUCCCUGGACUUAGUUGUUAAAGUACAGAAAUCCAAAACCUCAUUUCUCUUCACAACAGGUCUGACUAGUGGGGUACUCCUAACAAUAAUAGUGAGGUUUGAGUUGAAAUAUUGAAUGUAACCAAAGUAAAUAGAAAGUAAAGUGAAA